rnacentral:misc_RNA from 1 species
AACGCACAUUGCGCCCGCCAGUAUUCUGGCGGGCAUGCCUGUUCGAGCGUCAUUUCAACCCUCAGGCCCCCAGUGCCUGGCGUUGGGGAUCGGCGUGGGCGGCGGACGGCUCUCCGGAGCCCGAGGCCAAUGCCUGCCGGCCCCGAAAUUCAGUGGCGGUCUCGCUGUAGUCCCCCUCUGCGUAGUAGCACAACUCGCAUUGGAGCUCGGCGGUGGCCAUGCCGUAAAACACCCCACUUCUGAAAGUUGACCUCGGAUCAGGUAGGAAUACCCGCUGAACUUAA